GAUGAACGCUGGCGGCGUGCUUAACACAUGCAAGUCGAACGAGAAAUGUAGACGGAAACCUUCGGGCGGAAGCCUUCAUUUCGAGUGGCGGACGGGUGAGUAACGCGUGGGUAACCUGCCUCAUACAGGGGGAUAACAGUUGGAAACGACUGUUAAUACCGCAUAAGACCACAGCAUCGCAUGAUGCGGGGGUAAAAACUCCGGUGGUAUGAGAUGGACCCGCGUUCGAUUAGCCAGUUGGCGGGGUAACGGCCCACCAAAGCGACGAUCGAUAGCCGAUCUGAGAGGAUGACCGGCCACAUUGGGACUGAGACACGGCCCAAACUCCUACGGGAAGCAGCAGUGGGGAAUAUUGCACAAUGGGGGAAACCCUGAUGCAGCGACGCCGCGUGAGUGAAGAAGUACUGCGGUAUGUAAAGCUCUAUCAGCAGGGAAGAAAAUGACGGUACCUGAGGAAGAAGCCCCGGCUAACUACGUG
rnacentral:rRNA from 1 species